UACAGGAAGGAAGAAAAAGACGCAGACAAACGAAAGGAUAAGAACAACACAUCUCAAAAUGGACAGGGUUGAGGCUUAGCGAAGCACUGAGAAUGUCCGAAAGACGAGAGGAAUGGAGAGAGCUGGUUGCCAGGUCACCUGUGGUGCCCCUGUCGUCCAGACUGCGGGUUUGGUGAAGGUGGUGAAGGUUAACAGUGUAUCGUGCUAUCUAUGGAAUAUAUGUAGUGUAAUCAAUAGAAUAAAACAAUUAUUAUUAUUAUUUUAGGCGCUCAACAUAAUAUAAUUUGAGUCACAUAUUAACUAAAUUUCAAUAAAACCGAGCUAGGUUUAUUGUUAAUAUGUGUGCAACGUUUACAUUCGUAUUUAAUAACUAUACAACACUGUUAAACACAUCCUUUCACAUAAUAUCCUAAUGUUUUUGGCCUGGGGCGAAGCCCCUAGGCCAUUGUACUCAUAACCGUUUUUUGAGAUGAGCUGACUUGGCUGGCUGCCAAAACAUCCACUAAUGAAUGAAUUUGGAAAAGUCCGAUUUACCACUUGGCGGUAAUUCAUGCGCAAUCAAAGAAGAGGGACCUAUACAAACAAAUAGGUCCCUGCAAAGAAGUUCUAAAUAACCCGCAUUGUGAAUACAGAACAUCACUAUACAACAUGACAGUGUCAUAAAACGUGUAAAAAAUAUUAUUGAAGCAAAAUUCCUAAGCAUUGGGUACGGCAUAGUUUUUAUUAUUGUUCGCAUAUUCAUGCGAGAAUAAGUUCCUCGCUUGACGGUCUAGGCCGAAAAUAUACGAGUGUCUACGGAGACAGUAAGAAGAUUUUUUCUGAUACAUUUUUAAGGUAUUAGCACUCUAAUGAACUUCGUGCAAUAUCUCCUUCUUUCGUACAUAUCCGUCAAUCCGAACGUUAUCCGGGAAUGUGCAGAAAACUACGAAUAUUCUAUAAAUACGCUAUGAAAUACUAAAUGUAGGAUCCGCUAAAUACAAUGACAACAAAUAUGGCCGACAUUGUAUCGACAGAUUGGUCGUUUAAAGAAAAAGCAAUUUACUAUAUUAAAAGAGAACGAUUAAUAAAAGUGUUAUUAUUGUUCAUAUUAAUGUGACUGGAGUUAAUGAUAAACGUCAACUAAUGCAUGGCAGUGUUGAUAUUUAUGGAAAAAAAACGAUUCCUGGAAAUACGAUGUCAAACGGUUGAAAAUUUUGACCACUGUGAAGAAUAACGUUUAGAACCCGUGUCACUUACAACAUUUUAUAUUGUUGGUGAGAAGUAAAAGGGGAUAAAGUGGAUUUAUGCUUGUGUGAUGACUGUAGCCAUGUGAACGGGUUAUCGUACGGCAAAACCCAUCACGUAAAGAAGAGUCUUCAACUUUUCAAGAAAGGAAUGCCUUUUUUAAUGUUUUGCUAUCAACACAAAGCUCGGAACAGGAAGUGAUACAUUGUAUGCUGAUUACCUGUGCAGGAGGAAAACGAAACCAGACAGAUUAUGGACUCAAAUUCAACCUGUAAAAAAAGCUAGGAACUUGCAGUCACUGAGUGUUCUUGUUUACAGUCAUGUGUUCAAUGCUGCCACAACAUAAAUAUUAUAGCUGGCUCUGGACUCGACCUUAUGCAUCUUAAAAUGAUCUUUGAAUACGAUGGUCUCAAGAACAUUUUUAUAAUGAAUAACUUUGACGGUCAGCCCAGGGUCACCAAUUCCAAGCGUCUUUUGGAGACACUUAUUCCAACCUGUCGAAGUUCUUCAAAGAACUACCAUGACAGUCGUGUAUUUGUUUUGUUUGUCAUAAUAAGUUUAAUGUUAUAUAUCACUAGUAUCACUAGUCAUUGAUACAUUGAUAAAUCUAUUUUUCUUAAAACGCGUUUGAUUGAAUGAUUAUAUGUGCCUUGUUACUUAAUUAUUAAUGUUCUUAUUUCCCUGUAACAUUUUCAAGUCUUAUUUAUAUAAGAACACAUUUCACGUGCUAUUUCAAACAAGGUUAGCAAAUCUUACUGCACUGAGUAGGUUCCAUCUCACACAUGAUAUAUGAGAUGUAUGUAUGUUUAUAUGUUUAUGGGUUUAUUAUAGGCUUUUCCUCUUUUUUUAUCUUUUUAUAAUAAUUUUUGAACAUUAAGCUCAUCUGAAUGCUCACAUAUAAAAAUCUCAAAUUCAGUAUGACGUUUCUGGAAAAGGGGGGUAACCUUGAUUGUAAAGCGGGAACUUUUCGUUUUCACUGGUGACCCCCAUUUUUAGCUUAUUAUUAUAAAGCAAUGUCUUUACCAUCAACUACUAGUUUCUGUAUAGUUUUUUGUUCGUUUGUAAGUUUUUCAUUGUUUGCAAAGUAUUUUGUAUUGUUUUCAUUGUGUUCAACAUGCUGUGCCUGUGCACGAAGUAUUAUGCCAUCAAAUUGUAGUUUUCAACUAUGUUAUUCAAAAUGUUCCUAUUUUUGGAGUGAGUAUAAAGAUUUCCAUUAUUUUUAUCUCUAAUUAUGCGUUAAGAACAAUAUUGAAAUCACUUCCAACUAAAAUGUUUUUAUCUUAGUUAUUUAUUUUAUUGGAAUGUAAUGUUUCAUAAAAUUUGGAUUUAUCUAUAUUCAGGCCGUAAACGUUUAUUAAUGUUAAUUGUGUUUCGUGUAUUAUUAUAAUAAUAUUUGUAUGUUGUCCGCUAAGAUAAAUAUCUCCGUCCCAUGCACUUUUCAAUGUUUGUGAGAAGGUACGUGUGAUGUGAUUUUCCUGUAAAAGACUUUUUUUCGCCUAACCAUUUUAAAAUUUAAGUGUGUUUGUCUUUGUUAUUUAGCCCUUUUACAUUUAGAGUAUAUAUGUUAAUAUUCAUACAAAAGGAGGAGAAAUACAUGCCACUUUCCUUUUAUCUAACAUUUUAAAAUCAUUUUGUAGAGCUAGAUUAUUUGUUAAUACUAAAUUAUGCAAAAUUAUAUUACGCUUUGACGUUAAAAACAAUAACCUUCCAUGUCCUACAGGUUGUUGAUACAUUCUGUUCAUUAAAUUGAUCUACGUACUUGUUCAUUUAUUACAAUGGUAUUGGUAACUAUGCCCUGCCUUCAUUUAAAUUGAUCUCGAUACCAUUUUUUAAACAUUUCAUUAUCAUUAACACUUUGCUUUCCGCGUGGUAAGACCACCAUUGUUAAAUGAAUGAAUAAUUUAGUGAAUUAGUUAAAUGUGUUUGAAUAUCGUUCCAAAAUAUUUUAUAACACUUGUUAGUGAUGCUAUGAGAUCCCGAACUUUUGUUAUUUUGCAUUUCUUUAAGAGCUAGUCCACAUUCAUAUUCAGUUAGUAAUCCGUCACAUACUUCUUUUUCCUCUUCAUUUAAAGCAUGAUGUGUUUUUUACAGAGGGUGUUAUUUUCGACAUUCUUUCGUUUAUAGUGUUUCAAAAAAUAGGCUUGUUCUAUUAUUUCCACAAUAUUCAUAUUCAGUUUGUAAUCCUUCACAUACUUGUGAUUCCUCUUCCUUUAAAGCAUGAUGUGUUAUUUUACAGAGGUUGUUAUUUUCGACAUUAUUUCGUUUAUAGUGUUUCGAAAAAUAGGCUUCUUCUAUUAUUUGACUUUUAUUUGUUAUGUCUUUGCCAUUAACUACUAGGUCUGUGUAUAGUUUUGUGUUUGCUUCUACGUUUUUAAAUGUUUGCACAGUAUUUUGUAUUGUUUUCAUUGUGUUCAACAUGAUGUGCCCGUGCUCGAAGUAUUAUGCCAUUGAGGUGUAUGUGAUAAAUUCCUUCUAUUAUAAUUUUUUUUGUAAGAAUUUCCUUCUUCAAUGGAGAUGGUAUAAUUUGUGUUUCUUUUAUGCAUCUGUUUUUCAAGUGCUUCAAUGGCUUUUAUGGCUUCAUUUUCAAGUUUGUGUGUUUCUUUUUGUUUUAGCUUACCUGAGCACAACGUGAGCUUUUGUGAUCGCCUUUUGUGCGUCGUCUGUCAUGCAGCGUCAGCAUUUACCUUGUUAACACUUUAGAGGUCACAUUUAUUGUCCAAUUUUCAUGAAACUUGGUCAGAACAUGUGUCCCAUUAAUAUCUUGGACGAGUUCGAAAAUGCUUCUUGUUGUUGAAAAACCUGGGUGCCAGAGGGGCGUGGCAGUUUUCCUAAUAUGGCUAUUGUAAAACCUUGUUAAGACUAUAGAAGUUACAUUUUUUGUCCAAUCAUCAUGAAACUUGGUCGGAACAUGUGUCCCAAUAAAAUCUUUGACAAGAUCAAAAAUGGUUCUGGUUGGAAGAAAAACAUGGCCGUCAGGGGGCAGGGCAGUUUUCCUAUUUUGGCUAUAGUAAAACUUGUUUACACUGUAAAAGUCAAAUUUAUUGUCCAAUCUUCAUGAAACUUAGUCAGAACAUUUGUUCUAAUGAUAUCUUGGACGAGUUCGAAUAUAGUUCCGGUUGGUUGAAAAACAUGGCUGCCAGGUGGCAUGGCAGUUUUUCCUUAAAUGGCUACAGUAAAACCUUGUUAACACUCUCGAAGUCACAUAUUUUGUCCGUCAGAACAUGUUUCCCAAUAAAAUCUUAAACGAGUUCGAAAAUGGUUCCAGUUGAAUGAAAAAAAUGGCCGCCAGUGGUCGUGGCAGAUUUCCUUAUAUAGCUUUAGUGUAUAGUAAAACCUUUUUAACAUUCUAGAAGUCACAUUUAUUGUCCAAUCUUCAUGAAACUUAGUCAGAACAUUUCUUCAGACCAUAUCUCGGAUGAGUUUGAAAAUGGUUCUGGUCUGUUGAAAAACAUGGCUGCCAGGGGGCGGGCCAGUUUUCCUUACAUGGCUUUAGUAAAACCUUGUUAUAACGCUAGAAGUCACAUUUGUGGUCCAAUGCCUAUGAAACUUGGUCAGAAUAUUUGUACUAAUGAUAUCUGGGCUCAGAUCGAAAAUGGUUGAGGUCCGUUUAAAUACAUGGCCGCAAGGGGGCGUGGCAUUUUUCCUUAUAUGGCUAUUUUGUAAUGUUAACACUAGAAGUCACACUAAUUAUCCAAUCUUUAUGAAGCUUGAUCAGAACAUUUGUUCUAACAAUAGCUCAGCUGAGUUUGAAAAUGGUCAUGAUUCGUUGAAAAAUAUUGCCGCCGGGGGGGGGGGGCAGUUGUCCUUAUAUGGCUUUAGUGAAAACUUGUUGACGCUAUAUUAGCAUCAUUUAUUGGCCAAUCUACAUGAAACUUGGUCAAAACAUUAUUUUGUCCCACUGAAAUCUUAGCGAAGAUUGAAACUGGGUCAUAUGAGCUUAAAAACUAGGUCACUAGGUCAAAUAUAAAAAAAACAUGUUGAAAGUCACUUUUUUGGUCUAAUCUUCAUGAAUCAGCUUGCAUUUGUCCAGAAUAGUCUAGUUCUUUUUGCUCUUAGGUGAGCGCCUUAGGGCCUAACGGCCCUCUUGUUUUAAAUGACGUGCAUCUUAUUGUUGUGUUAAGUAUCUUGCCUUUAAGAUACCUGUUAUAUUUGUGUUUGAUAUUGUGUAUCUUUUCAGAAGCUAUUAUUUACUUUUAAAGUACCUUGGGCCUCUUUCAGGUUGUAUUUCAUGCAGUUAAAGUUCAACUAUCAAGUGAAGUCAUAAAUCCUGGUUUUAUGUUGCAUGUGUCGAUAAUGUUGCAAAUAGACUCGCAUAUUAAAAACAAUCUUAUCUCCAAAUAUUGCUGGUUUUGUGUUUGAGUGCCAGGUGAAUUUUCUUUCAUUAUGAUUAACUGUAUGCCAUAUGUCUAUCAAAUUGUAGUUUUCAAUUAUGUUAUUUAAAAUGUUCCUUUUUUGGAGUGAGUAUAAAUAUUUCCAUUUCUUUUAUCUCUAAUAAUGGGUUAAGAACAUUAUUGAAAUCCUCUCCGACUAUAAUGUUCUUAUCUUGGUUAUUUAUUAUAAUAUUUGGAUUCAUCUAUGUUCGGACCGUAAAUGUUCAUUAAUGUUAAUUGUGUUUCGUGUAUUUUUAUAUCUAUACUUGCUUGUCUGCCAAUCAUUAUUUUCGUUCAAGUAAUCCACUGUUAUUCCUGUAUGACUUUUACUCAGACAAGCGAUGCCUUGUUUAUUUGUAUGUUGUCCGCUAAGAUAAAUAUCUACGUCCCAACCACUUUUCAAUGUUUUUGCUAAGGUAUGUUUUAGGUGACUUUUCUGGAUGAAAAAGAUAUAUAUUACUUUUUUUUGUCUAACCAUUUGAAACUUUUAGUGCAUUUUUCUUUGUUAUUUAGCCCUUGUACAUUUACAGUACAUAUGUUAAUACUCACACAAAAGGACGAGAAUUGCAUGAUACCAUUCUUGUUCCAAACAUUUUAAAAUCAUUUUGUAGAGCUAGAUUAUUAGUUAGUAGUUCAUUAUGUCAAGUUAUAUUAAGCUUUGAUGUUAAAAACAAUUACCUUCAAUGUUCUACAGGUUGUUGAUACAUUGUGUUCAUUAAAUUGAUCUCAGCA